rnacentral:ncRNA from 2 species
GCUUCUCGUGCGAUGUUUCGCAGUAUAUCCCUGUGAGUUUGCUACUUUUCAAUGGUCAAAUCACAGGAGUAUACUGUGAGAUGUUGCCGGUUACUUAGGC